rnacentral:rRNA from 1 species
CUGCCGGAGGCCAUUGCUAUUGGGAUCCGAUUUAGCCAUGCUAGUCGCACGAGUUCAGACUCGUGGCGAAUAGCUCAGUAACACGUGGCCAAACUACCCUUCGGAACACAAUACCCUCGGGAAACUGAGGCUAAUAGUGUAUACCAUACCACCACUGGAAUGAGUGGUAUGCCAAACGCUCCGGCGCCGAAGGAUGUGGCUGCGGCCGAUUAGGUAGACGGUGGGGUCAGCAGGCGCGAAACCUUUACACUGCACGACAGUGCGAUAGGGGGAUCCCAAGUGCACAGGCAUAGCGCCUGUGCUUUUCGGUACCGUAAGGUGGUACCAGAAUAAGGGCUGGGCAAGACCGGUGCCAGCCGCCGCGGUAAUACCGGCAGCCCAAGUGAUGGCCGAUCUUAUUGGGCCUAAAGCGUCCGUAGCUGGCCGCGCAAGUCCAUCGGGAAAUCCACCUGCUCAACAGGUGGGCGCCCGGUAGAAACUGCGUGGCUUGGGACCGGAAGGCGCGACGGGUACGUCCGGGGUAGGAGUGAAAUCCCGUAAUCCUGGACGGACCGCCGAUGGCGAAAGCACGUCGCGAGAACGGAUCCGACAGUGAGGGACGAAAGCCAGGGUCUCGAACCGGAUUAGAUACCCGGGUAGUCCUGGCCGUAAACAAUGCCUGCUAGGUGUGGCUCCCACUACGAGUGGGUGCUGUGCCGUAGGGAAGCCGCUAAGCAGGCCGCCUGGGAAGUACGUCCGCAAGGAUGAAACUUAAAGGAAUUGGCGGGGGAGCACUACAACCGGAGGAGCCUGCGGUUUAAUUGGACUCAACGCCGGACAUCUCACCAGCAUCGACUGUAAUAAUGACGACCAGGUUGAUGACCUUGUCCGAGUUUCAGAGAGGAGGUGCAUGGCCGCCGUCAGCUCGUACCGUGAGGCGUCCUGUUAAGUCAGGCAACGAGCGAGACCCGCAUCCUUACUUGCCAGCAGUACCGCGAGGUAGCUGGGGACAGUAGGGAGACCGCCGUGGCUAACACGGAGGAAGGAACGGGCAACGGUAGGUCAGUAUGCCCCGAAUGUGCUGGGCAACACGCGGGCUACAAUGGUCAGGACAAAGGGUUCCUACUCCGAAAGGAGACGGUAAUCUCAGAAACCUGAUCGUAGUUCGGAUUGUGGGCUGCAACUCGCCCACAUGAAGCUGGAUUCGGUAGUAAUCGCGUGUCACAAGCGCGCGGUGAAUACGUCCCUGCUCCUUGCGAGUGAGGUCCGGAUGAGGCGUUCCACAGGUCCGGAUGAGGCGUUCCACGAACGUCGAAUCUGGCUUUGCAAGGGGGCUUAAGUCGUAACAAGGUAGCCGUAGGGGAAUCUGCGGCUGGAUCACCUCCU